rnacentral:lncRNA from 1 species
GGGAUCUAUGGGGCAGCGGGGAUCUAUGGGGAUCUAUGGGGCAGUGGGGAUCUGUGGGGCAGCGUAGAUCUAUGGGGCAGCGGGGAUUUACGGGGAUCUAUGGGGCAGGGGGGAUCUAUGGGGCAGCGGGGAUCUAUGGGAAUCUAUGGGGCAGUGGGGAUCUGUGGGGCAGCGGGGAUCUAUGGGGAUCUAUGGGGCAGCGUGGAUCUAUGGGGAUCUAUGGGGCAGCGUGGAUCUAUGGGGCAGUGUGACCUUGAAGCGUCCGGUGAAGAGCUCCAUGUGCGCGGCCGUGUCGUGCAGCGCGUACAGAGCACGCAGCGCCCGCACGCAGCGCAGCCGCACCAACGACACCUGCACCAGGGAACACCAGGAACACCACGAUCACCACCAUCACCACCAUCACCAGGAUCACCACCAUCACCACCAUCACCACCAUCACCACCAUCACCAGGAUCACCAGGGACACCAGCAACACCAGGAUCACGAGGAUCACCACCAUCAUCAGGAUCACCACCAUCAUCAGGAUCACAAGGAUCACCACCAUCACCAGGGACACCAGGAUCACCAGGAUCACCACCAUCACCAGGAUCACCGCCAUCACCACCAUCACCAGGGACACCAGGAUCACCAGGAUCACCACCAUCAUCAGGAUCACCAGGAUCACCACCAUCACCACCAUCACCAGGAUCACCACCAUCACCACGGACACCAGGGACAGCAGUAUCACCAGGGACACCAGCAACACCAGGAUCACCAGGAUCACCACCAUCAUCGGGGACACCAGGAUCACCAGGACACCAAUAUCACCAGGGUCACCAGGGACACCAGGGUCACCAGUGACA